GCAGUUAAAAAGCUCGUAGUUGGAUUUCGGAACCGGCCGAUUGGUCCGUCCUCUGGAUCGUGUACUGAUCGGUCUGUUCUGCUUCGCGAAGACCGCGUGUGCCCUUAACUGGGUGGGCGCGGGAUUCGCGACGUUUACUUUGAAAAAAUUAGAGUGUUCAAAGCAGGCAGUCGCUUGAAUAUCUCAGCAUGGAAUAAUAGAAUAGGACUUUGGUCUUAUUUUGUUGGUUUCCGAGUCCGAAUGUAAUGAUUAAUAGGGACAGUUGGGGGCAUUCGUAUUUCAUUGUCAGAGGUGAAAUUCUGGGAU
rnacentral:rRNA from 1 species